rnacentral:rRNA from 1 species
UUCUUUGCUGGCGACCGGCGCACGGGUGAGUAACACGUAUCCAACCUGCCCUUUACUCGGGGAUAGCCUUUCGAAAGAAAGAUUAAUACCCGAUAGCAUAAUGAUUCCGCAUGGUUUCAUUAUUAAAGGAUUCCGGUAAAGGAUGGGGAUGCGUUCCAUUAGGUUGUUGGUGAGGUAACGGCUCACCAAGCCUUCGAUGGAUAGGGGUUCUGAGAGGAAGGUCCCCCACAUUGGAACUGAGACACGGUCCAA